rnacentral:tRNA from 1 species
AGAGAUUUAGGUUAAAUAAACCAAAAGCCUUCAAAGCUUUAAAUAGAAGUGAAAACCAUCUAAUUUCUG